GGAUGAAGCCCAACCAAGAAAGCACAACCAAGAGGCCGAGAAUAAAGAACCCACACGCCACGAUCUGACCACUUGGAGCAUUGCAAAGUGAGACCUACCCCGGCAUUUUUCAGAGAAUCACAGAAGGACCCUCGCAGCCUCGGGAGUCUCCAAAGCAAGUUGCGUGAAAUAAUGUAGAGAAUAAACGAGCAGUUCGGAACUCCCUCGCUUCCCAAAAGACCUACACAAUUUCUUGCUGUUGGUGAAGUUCAUCAGGACUGAGAAAAACAGAGAGGCUCUAACCUUGGAAAGGAGGUGGUUGAAAGCUACAAGCGUUUGGAGUCCAGGAGAACGAACGCGUUGGCUCUCCUCUGUUUCAUCCGCUUGGGUGAAGGGAAGCGGAUGUUCCAGGUUGGACAAGAGACUGAAACAAGCUAAAGAAAGGCAGCCCCUUCUAUCCGGCCGCCUUCCCUACAUCUGUCCUCAGAAGUUCCCGCCCAGCACCUAACUUUCUAGGAUUCGAUACCUAUCGCCUGGUCAGCUCUGCUCUGCUCCAAGAAGCCAGGUUAGCGCUGGACCAAACAUGACGUGCGGAGGACUGAGUCGGGGCGUCUGUGUUACAGCAGCACAAUGUCCAGCCACGGGAACAGUCACUGCUGGGUGUCGGGGGCAGAGCCCAGAGCAGUAAUAUUCCAGAGCACGAUUGAUCUCCAGAGCAUUGCGGUGUAAUAGAAUCGCUGAGGGUCGCAGGUUCAGUUUGAACAGUACUAUCCGAUCCUAUCAGACCCAAUGCCCUCCCUUUGAUGACAAAUAUUGUGCAAUUCUCCCCUACAGCCUCCUAAAACGACAGGCACAAGUGUCUACCCAGAGUUUAUCUGGCCCACUCUAAUGUCCUCACAAUAGAUAAAGGAUAAAUAAAAGAGAAGUGGUUAUAAUAAAUUCAUACGUAUUUCAGCAGCUAGAAGACACAAGGGACUAGUCUGGUGCUUGUGCCUGGUCACGCAUUCACCCAAAUAGGACAACCGCCAAGCGGAAUUGAGUGUUGGUGACUCAGAUCCCACGAGCGGCAUUGUACUGGUGAAUAAUUCUCUGUCAGAUUCCAACCAAGCGUAAGUGUAAUCUUCCCUUCAUUUACAUAGAAGUAUCAAGUUGUAAAAGAUAAAUUGUGUUUAUAUGUAGAACAGA